rnacentral:rRNA from 1 species
CAAUAGCGUAUAUUAAAGUUGUUGCAGUUAAAAAGCUCGUAGUUGGAUUUCUGGUCGGAGCGACCGGUCGGCGUCCUUUGUGGCGUGUGCACUGUCGUCGGCUCCGUCCAUCCUAGUGGGAAGGCGUGUUGGCAUUCAUUUGUCGGCGCGUGGCCCCGCUACGUUUACUGUGAAAAAAUUAGAGUGUUUAAAGCAGGCGUUCGCUGUGAAUACAUUAGCAUGGAAUAAUGAGAUAGGACUUUGGUACUAUUUUGUUGGUUUGCGCACCAAGGUAAUGAUUAAUAGGGAUAGUUGGGGGUAUUCAUAUUCAAUUGUCAGAGGUGAAAUUCUUGGAUUUAUGGAAGAUGAACUUAUGCGAAAGCAUUUACCAAGGAUGUUUNCAUUA